rnacentral:sRNA from 1 species
GAUUACAGUGUCAAAAGGUAUUCUCCACGUCAUGCUUGCAUGUAAGUGGAGAUAUACCUUAUUGACACGCCCACACAUGAGCAAGAAGUGGGGCGGGGGCCCCAUAGAUUGCGAAUGCGGGGCAGGAUUGUGGAAGUGCGUAGCACGAAACAAUCCGU